rnacentral:rRNA from 1 species
AGAAUCAACGCUGGCGGCGUGCCUAACACAUGCAAGUCGAACGAGAAAGGGUAGCAAUACCUGAGUAAAGUGGCGCACGGGUGAGUAACACGUGACUAACCUACCUUUUAGUGGGGGAUAACCUAGGGAAACCUGGGCUAAUACCGCAUAAUACCUACGGGUCAAAGCAGCAAUGCGCUGAAUGAGGGGGUCGCGGUCGAUUAGUUAGUUGGCAGGGUAAUGGCCUACCAAGACUGUGAUCGAUAUCCGGCCUGAGAGGGCGCACGGACACACUGGAACUGAAACACGGUCCAGACUCCUACGGGAGGCAGCAGUGGGAAUUUGCGCAAUGGGGGAAACCCUGACGCAGCAACGCCGCGUGGAGGAUGAAGUCCCUUGGGACGUAAACUCCUUUCGAUCGGGACGAUAAUGACGGUACCGGAAGAAGAAGCCCCGGCUAACUUCGCGCCAGCAGCCGC